rnacentral:rRNA from 1 species
AUUGAACGCUGGCGGCAUGCUUUACACAUGCAAGUCGAACGGUAACAGGCCGCAAGGUGCUGACGAGUGGCGAACGGGUGAGUAAUGCAUCGGAACGUGCCCAGUCGUGGGGGAUAACGCAGCGAAAGCUGUGCUAAUACCGCAUACGAUCUACGGAUGAAAGCGGGGGAUCGCAAGACCUCGCGCGAUUGGAGCGGCCGAUAUCAGAUUAGGUAGUUGGUAGGGUAAAAGCCUACCAAGCCUGCGAUCUGUAGCUGGUCUGAGAGGACGACCAGCCACACUGGAACUGAGACACGGUCCAGACUCCUACGGGAGGCAGCAGUGGGGAAUUUUGGACAAUGGGCGCAAGCCUGAUCCAGCAAUGCCGCGUGCAGGACGAAGGCCUUCGGGUUGUAAACUGCUUUUGUACGGAGCGAAAAGGUCUCUACUAAUACUAGGGGCUCAUGACGGUACCGUAAGAAUAAGCACCGGCUAACUACGUGCCAGCAGCCGCAGUAAUAC